rnacentral:rRNA from 1 species
CUGCAGCCCGAGUGGUGAUCGAUUUUAUUGAGCCUAAAGCGUCCGUAGCCGGUCUAGUAAACUCUUGGGUAAAUUGGACAGCUUAACUGUCCAAAUUCCGAGAGGACUGCUAGACUUGGGACCGGGAGAGGUCAGAGGUACUCCAGGGGUAGGGGCUAAAUCCUGUAAUCCUUUGGGGACCACCAGUGGCGAAGGCGUCUGACUAGAACGGAUCCGACGGUAAGGGACGAAACCCUGGGGCGCGAACCGGAUUAGAUACCCGAGUAGUCC